AGUCACGAGUUUGAUCCUGGCUCAGAUUGAACGCUGGCGGCAGGCCUAACACAUGCAAGUCGAGCGGUAGAGAGGUGCUUGCAUCUCUUGAGAGCGGCGGACGGGUGAGUAAUGCCUAGGAAUCUGCCUAGUGGUGGGGGGAUAACGUUCGGAAACGGACGCUAAUACCGCAUACGUCCUACGGGAGAAAGCGGGGGGAUCUUCGGACCUCGCGCCAUUAGAUGAGCCUAGGUCGGAUUAGCUAGUUGGUGAGGUAAUGGCUCACCAAGGCGACGAUCCGUAACUGGUCUGAGAGGAUGAUCAGUCACACUGGAACUGAGACACGGUCCAGACUCCUACGGGAGGCAGCAGUGGGGAAUAUUGGACAAUGGGCGAAAGCCUGAUCCAGCAAAUGGCCGCGUGAGUGAUGAAGGCCUUCGGGUUGUAAAGCUCUUUUACUCGGGACGAUAAUGACGGUACCGAGAGAAUAAGCCCCGGCUAACUCCGUG
rnacentral:rRNA from 1 species